GCCCGCCCUCGCCUCUGUUGCUGCUGUUACCUGAGCAAGUGCUCCACCGCCGCAAUGAUGUUUGGGAUUGAUCUUAACAUGAGUCCUCCACAAGAUGAUGCCUCAGAACCUGCAGAUCAACAGGAAGAACAGAACAGUGAACAACAAUACAACAAUGAGGAACCAGUCAAUAAUGAAGCAACAUGGGAAGAAGCAAGUGGUGUAGAGGAACCAAUUCAUGAAGAAGCAAGUGGUGUAGAGGAAGCAAUUCAUGAGGAAGCAAGUGCUGUACAGAAACCAAUUCAUGAGGAACUCACAAAUGAGGAGAGAUAUGGUAUUUUUUU